UUUGCGAACUGGACUAGGUUACUUAACAAGUUUGUUUCUUCAGAACGUGAGUAAACACUCUCCCUGUUUCUGACGCGAGCGGCGAGCGGGGUGUCCCCACCCCAGACCGUGUUCCGGUGUUCCCUCCCACUCUCAGCCAGACGCUACCGCCUUUCUUCUCCCUUCUCCUCUCUCCUGAUACGGUCGCCGCAUAUUCUCACCUGACCGGUUCAGUUUUCAGUCACUCCCUUCCUACUGUGUUCAUCACUCUAGGUGACUCACUACACUUGAUUUGAGUUCCCAUCAUCCCAUGUUUUGUUCUGUUUCCCUCCACUUCUCAAAUCAAUCACUGGAGAAUAGCUUUUUGUGAAUCAAACGCAACCUUAGAGUUUCCACCACCACCAUCUUCUUCACUUCCUUAGUCCCUUCUGCUGUGAGAAUCACCCCUCCUCCGUGUGAACAAAUCGCAUCCAAAACCUCACAUACUAACAAUGAUAACAAAACGCUUCCUUUACCCUUCUAAAUCCACCUUUUCUAUUCGUCCCUUUCAUCUUUCUUCUUAUUUUUCAAGUUCAACCUCCCAAGUAGAAUCUCAACCAAACAAACUCAAUUCUCCUCAUUCCCUUUCUGAAUCCCUUUCCCACUUCCACCGUUCCAUUGAAGACUAUCCUAAUUCACUACCCUCCUAUUCAUUCUGCAACACCCUCAUAGACAACCUACGAAAGGCAAAACACUAUGACCUUGUCAUUUCUGUUCAUUCUAAGAUGGUCAGUGUUUCUAUCUUCCCCUGUUUUACCUCCUUGAGUGCUUUGAUUGAAAGUUUUGUCAACACCCAGAAGUCAAGUUUUGCUUUUGGGGUCUUGGGGUUGAUGAUAAAGCGUGGUUAUGAUGUUAAUGUGUAUAAUAUGAACCUUUUGUUAAAGGGUUUUUGUCAAAUUGAUGGUGAUUGUGAUAAGGCUUUGGAUUUGUUUUCUAUAAUGAAGAGGAAUUGUAUGUUGCUUGAUAGUUUUAGUUAUAAUACAAUCAUUAAUGGACUUUGUAAAGCUAAGAGAUUGGUUGAAGCUAGGGUUUUGUUUGAGGAUAUGAAGGUUGAGGGUUGUAAACCGAAUUUAGUUACAUUUAGUACUUUGAUCGAUGCUAUUUGUAAAAAUGAAACAGUCGAAGAAGGCUUUGCUUUGUUGGAAGAGAUGGAGAAGAUGGGUUUGGAGGCUGAUGAGUUUGUGUAUACCACUCUGAUUAAUGGAUUUUGUAACAAAGGUGACCUUGAGAGGGGAAAACAACUUUUUAAUGAGAUGCUGGGAAAGAAUGUUGCUCCAAAUGUUGCUACUUAUAGUUGUUUGAUGAAUGCACUUUGCAAGAAAAGGAAGUGGCAAGAAGCCUCGAAAAUGUUGGAUGAUAUGACGACUUGUAGGGUCCGUCCUGAUGUUGUUACCUAUACGGUUUUAGCUGAUGGACUUUGCAAAAAUGGGAGGGCGUCUGAUGCAAUUAAAGUGUUGGAUUUGAUGGUACAAAAGGGGGAAGAGCCGAAUAAUAUAACGUAUAACGUCAUCAUAAACGGACUUUGUAAGGAAGGUCGGGUAGACGAUGCAUUCAAGAUUCUAGAAACCAUGGCGAAGAAGGGGAAGAAACCUGAUGUGGUUACCUACAACACAUUAUUGAAAGGAUUAUGUGGAGUUGGAAAAAUUGAUGAGGCAAUGGACCUUUUGAAUUUGUUAUUAAGCAAGGAGUUCCAUAUGAAGCCUGAUGUUUUUGCGUUUAAUUUGGUAAUCCAGGGACUUUGCAAAGAAUUGCGUCUUCAUGAUGCCAGGAAGGUCUAUUCUACAAUGGUUGAAAAAGGGCACUCAGGUAACAUAGUAACUUACAACAUUUUGAUCGACGGUCAUCUAAAUGCUGGAAAGCUUACCAAGGCAUUUGAGUUAUUUAAGUAUGCAGUAGAUUUGGGAUUUUCCCCUAAUUCAAUGACCUAUACUGUCUUGAUUAAUGGUCUUUGCAAAAUGCAAAUGCUAAGUAUUGCAAAAGGACUUUUUAGUAAAAGAAGAGCUUCCGGAAUUAGACCUGCAGUAACAGAAUACAAUACACUAAUGGCAUCCUUGUGCAAAGAAGGUAGUGUAGAGCAGGCUAGGAAUUUAUUUCAAGAAAUGAGAAAUGCAAAUCAUGAUCCUGAUAUUCUCUCGUUUAAUAUAAUAAUCGAUGGAACUCUCAAAGCUGGAGAUGUUAAAUCUUCUAAGGAAUUGCUAUUGGAGAUGCUUAACUUUGGUUUGGUCCCUGACAGCAUUACCUUUUCUAUAUUAAUAAACAGGUACUUAAAACUGGGGGAAUUGGAUGAGGCGAAGUUGCUCUAUGAGAGAAUGGUCUCUUGUGGUCAUGUACCAGAUGCUGUGUUGUUUCAUUCUUUGCUAAAGGGAUAUAGUUUAAUGGGAGAGACGAAAAAAAUUAUUUCGGUGCUUCAACAAAUGGCUGAUAAGGAUGUUGUUCUCGACUCGAAAUUAACUUCUAUCAUCUUAGCUUGCAUUUGUAAAGUCUCAAAAGAUAUUGAUAUAGACAAGAUACUUCCAAAAUUUUCACAACAUACAUCUGUAGGAUCAAAUAUUAAAUGCAAUGAACUUUUGAUGAAAUUGAAUAAGGUUCAUCCACAGCUUCAAUUGUUUGUUGCGUGAUGGUUUUUGUUUGCAUGAAGUUAUGAACAUGAUGCCGUGGCUCUCAAAUUGCUGCGAGUCUAAUGCUUGGCUAGGACAAACUUGUUAGUCGUCGGUUUUUGAUUAGGUAAAAAGAGGUCAUGGCAUCAACUGUUUUGUAAACAGACAGUUGAUUUACAAUUUUCUGGAGGAGCUCUUUGCUGACGCGGGAAUAUUGGCUAUUGAGCAUGCUGAUUUUGAUGGUAUUGAUUGUUUGGCUCUGGUAACUGGUGAUGAGAUUGCUUCAACCUUUGACAAUCCUGGGUCUGUUAAGCUCGGGCGUUCUGACCUUAUUGAAGAGAUUAUGAUUGGUGGGGGUAAAUUAAUUAAGUUUUCUGAUGUUGCAAUGGGGCAAGCAUGGACAACAGUUCUGAGAGGUUCUAGGCUGCAUCUAUUGGACAUGCUGAUUUUGAUGGUAUUGAGCGUCUGGUUCUGGUAACUGGUGGUGAAAUUGCUUCAACCUUUGACAACCCAGAGUCUGUUAAGCUUGGGCGUUGUGACCUUAUUGAAGAGAUUAUGACUGGUGAGGAUAAAUCGAUUAAGUUUUCUGGUGUUGCAAUGGGGCAGACGUGCACAAUAGUUCUGAGAGGUGCUAG